CUUGCGUCCCCGCGCAAGCUACUCUAGCGCAGGGAGACGCUACUAACUCCAGGGAUGCUUCAGAGACUCCAGCGUCCCGAAUUUUGAUCCGUUAAGCAUGGACUCAGAAGUUAAGUAAAAUCAAGGACUAAUUCCUGAGAUGUCUUGGGUGAUGAGAGUGGAUGAAGAAAUGGAGACUAAAAGCCAAUAACCUGUCCAGUAUCACACGGCUGAUCAAUGGCAAGACUGGGAUUUGAACUCCAGUCGGUUUGACAGAAUGGCAGAAUGGAUAACAUUGACUGGACAUCCCUGUGAAAAAGGCCAAGUAAAGAAAGGGAAAACUUUGAUAAAAAAACUGGCAAAAAAAAGUAGACUAAUGCAGCUACCUGGACAGGUCAUAAAACCCUUAUUUGAGAGGUGCCCUGACUACCUACACCUGAGGAAAGUCACAUCUUAUCACUGAAGACAAAAGUUUUGCUAAGAAGAAUCCAAACACACAGGCCUUGCUAAGUUUCCUCCAGUUUACUACUCAGAGCUCAUAUUCACCGACCUGUCAUAUUCCUCCAUGACUACCUACUCUUCUUCAAACCAAGCAUAAAAAUACACAGGUGACUGCUCAUCAUGCAGAGGCGGGUGAUAUUGAGAACCAUGACGACGGUGAAGGCCACAAGGCAGACGACCAUGUAGUAGACGCCCAUGUCUCCAGAGGAUGAAGAAACUAAGGACGGUAGAUUAGCUCGCCUUCCCAAGGUCACCAGUUUGGAAGAAGUGGGGGGAGUGGAUGAACUCGAGCUCAAAAGGCUAUACUCUUAACCCCCAAACCCUACUAUGUAAUUCCACGGCCUUGUGAAAAACAGGAAAAAUAAACAAUCUGGAAAAUA